UUGCUUUGCUGUGUUACUGAGGAGGGAGGAGGAGAGAGGCCUUCAGCCCCUGCUUGGCCAUGACACCGUAAGCAGAGCCUACAACAUGACAUCCUUAUAUUGCCAUGGGCGACAUGAAGAUGCAAGCAGAGAGAGACAGCCAUGGACUAAGCAAUGCCAACAGCACAUAUGAACUGGUUCAGAUAAUGGCAUAUGGAGAAAUGCUCUUGGAACUUUGCCAACAAAAACAACUUGUUUUAUCAGGAACAUUUCCUCUUCUUCAACAAUAACAAUCAAAGCAACAUUACUGAUCAACAGUUUAAUCAGGUUAAAGAAAUGACAGCAGAAUAGGAUUGGCUGGCAAUGACUUACUUCCAGUUUAUGAACCUGCCUAUGUAAGAACUGAACUGAACCAGAUUCUUUUCAAACAGAACUGUGGUAGAAAACUAUCUUGAAUACUAAAGGCAAAAGAAAAUAAAGGACACUACUUCAUUCUAUUA